GGCUGAAAACAGCAUGACACACAUUCUGGAAAGGCCAGCCUCAAAGCCUGGUAGACAUGACUGGACAGGCUGUGUUUGUCCUGUUGUGUUCCAUGUUGCGGUGACUCAGGAACUUGCUUGCAAACGUCAGCAGAGAAGCUAA
rnacentral:lncRNA from 1 species